rnacentral:rRNA from 1 species
GAUGAACGCUGGCGGCGUGCCUAAUACAUGCAAGUCGAGCGAACGGACGAGAAGCUUGCUUCUCUGAUGUUAGCGGCGGACGGGUGUGUAACGCGUGGAUCCCCUACCUAUAUGUCUGGGAUCACUUCGGGAAACCGGAGCUAAUACCGGAUGAUAUUCUGAACCGCAUGGUUCAAUAGAGAGAGACGGUCUUGCUGUCACUAAUAGAUGGUUCCGGGCUGCAUUAGCUAGUUGGUAAGGUUACGGCUUACCAAGGCGACGAUGCAUAGCCGACCUGUGAGGGUGAUAGGCCACAUGAGAGCGUGGACACGGUCCAGACUCCUACGGGAGGCAGCAGUAGGGAAUCUGACGCAGUAGGCGAAAGCCUGACGGAGCGACGGCGCGUGAGAGAUGGAAGUGUUCCGAUCGUAAUGCUGUGUUAUUAGGGAAGAACAGAUGUGUAAGUAACUGAAGAGAGCGUGACGGUAACUAGUCAGAAAGCCACGGCUAACUACGUG